rnacentral:rRNA from 1 species
UAUGGCCACAUUGGGAAUGAAAUAUCCCAAGUAGAGAACUCUACCAGCAGUCGAGCAUAUUAGUCAAUGCUCGCAAGAGUGAACUAGCUAACUGGAAUCACGAGUGUGUCACUUGUGAAUUGUAUAAGGAAAAAUGAUGAUGUCACUUUUACAAGUAGUGUUGUCCAAAGCUGGUGCCAGAAGACUCGGUAAGGCCAGAGACGCAAGCGUUAAUCAUCCUGAUCAGGCGUAAAGGGUUUGUAGGCAGCUUUAAAAUAAUUAAAGAUUGAAUCAAAUAGAGGUCAAGAGAAUUCCUAGAUUAGGGUUGAUAUCUGAAAAAACUAGGAAGAAUUCUAAUUAGCGAAGGCACUUUUCUAUCUAAUGAUUGACGCUGAGAAACGAAGGGGAGGAUCGACAAUAGGAUUAGAUACCUGGCAUCCCUCUCUGUAAACGAUGAAUGGUAGUUGCUAGUAAUAAUAAUUAGUGGCGAGGCUAACGCGUUAACCAUUCCGCCUUGUGAGUACGACUGCAAAGUUGAAAACAAAAAAUUAGUCGGUUUCGGAGCAA